CCUACGGGAGGCAGCAGUGGGGAAUAUUGGGCAAUGGGCGAAAGCCUGACCCAGCGAUGCCGCGUGAGGGAUGAAGGCCUUCGGGUCGUAAACCUCUGUCAGGAGGGACGAUGGGACUUUUGUCUUGACGGUACCUCCAGAGGAAGCCCCGGCUAACUCCGUGCCAGCAGCCGCGGUAAUACGGAGGGGGCAAGCGUUGCUCGGAAUUACUGGGCGUAAAGGGUCCGCAGGCUGUCAGGCAAGUUGGUUGUGAAAGCUCAAGGCUUAACCUUGGAAUUGCAUCCAAAACUGCCUGACUAGAGUCCAAGAGAGGUUGGCGGAAUUCCCGGUGUAGCGGUGAAAUGCAUAGAUAUCGGGAGGAACACCAGAGGCGAAGGCGGCCAACUGGCUUGGUACUGACGCUCAGGGACGAAAGCGUGGGUAGCAAACCGGAUUAGAUACCCGGGUAGUCCACGCCCUAAACGAUGGAUGCUAGGUAGGGGGAAUUUAUUUCUCCCUGCCGUAGUUAACGCAUUAAGCAUCCCGCCUGGGGAGUACGGUCGCAAGGCUGAAACUCAAAUGAAUUGACGG
rnacentral:rRNA from 1 species